UACGUAGGGGGCAAGCGUUGUCCGGAAUCAUUGGGCGUAAAGCGCGUGUAGGCGGUUCAGUAAGUCUGCUGUGAAAGUCCAGGGCUCAACCCUGGGAUGCCGGUGGAUACUGUAGAGCUAGAGUCCGGAAGAGGCGAGUGGAAUUCCUGGUGUAGCGGUGGAAUGCGCAGAUAUCAGGAGGAACACCUGCGGCGAAGGCGGGUUGCUGGGCCGACACUGACGCUGAGGCGCGAAAGCCAGGGGAGCGAACGGG
rnacentral:rRNA from 1 species